UACAGAGGGGGCAAGCGUUGUUCGGAAUUACUGGGCGUAAAGGGCGCGUAGGCGGCCUACUAAGUCAGACGUGAAAUCCCCCGGCUUAACCUGGGAACUGCGUCUGAUACUGGAAGGCUUGAGGAUGGGAGAGGGAUGUAGAAUUCCAGGUGUAGCGGUGAAAUGCGUAGAUAUCUGGAGGAAUACCGGUGGCGAAGGCAAUCCCCUGGGCCUGCACUGACGCUCAUGCACGAAAGCGUGGGGAGCAAACAGG
rnacentral:rRNA from 1 species